GCAAAAUAGUACGUUUUCUAAACAUAAUUAGAAAAGCAGUACAUUUACUAUUUAUAAUCGGGAAAACCCCCACUUUCACUGUGCUGCAACUGUUUCGAAGACAUUGUGACCCUCACAUAUUUCUUAUAUUUACGACAGUGCCAUUGACAUUAAAAUAAAUUAUGUCUUCUCUAAACCUUCCUUUUCCCCAAAACUCAGUCCGAGUCAAACGAUUCUCCAACGAUCUUCUUCUUCGUUUCUUUGUCAUUCUUCAAUUGCAGAAACUUCGACAUGAAAGGCGGCGAAUCCAAAGCUGAAGCAACGAGCACUGAUCAGAGACUCAAAACCAGAGGUAGAAAGCCUGGGAAGAAGACGAAGAAGGAUCCAAAUCAACCUAAGAGACCUCCAAGUGAGAGAAAAAAGAAGAUCUAUGGGUUUGAAUUCUAAGUACGAGAACCAAAAAUUAGAUGAUGAAUUGUGUUUCGAUUAAAACGCAUUCUUCUGGUCUUCUUCACUAUGCACAUGGCAAAACGGUUACUCAGGAUGAAACUGGUUUUCUCGAGGAGAUUGAUUCAUGAAUGAAUUUCUGAAACAGGAAUGUGGUGAUGAAAUUAGAUAUCUCUACCUCUUAUUUCAAAUUUAGUUCUCUAAUAUUUCUUGGUUAUGCUUGUGUUUACUAUGAAGCUAUUUUUUUUGAGAAGAAUGAUUCGUAAAUUAUGUAGUUGUGGAAUUUAGAAGCUCUUUAUCUCUUAUUUCCGAUUCCAUUCUAUGUUAGUUCCACGUUAUGUUUGUGUCUAGGGUGAAACAAUAUUUUUUGAGAAGAUUAAUUCAUGACUGAUGUUUUAUGCAGUUCCAUCCGGGAAAAUGUUGGGAUUAGUAAAGAUCAUACCAUCUUUUCUUUAAUCGAUGAAUUAGUCAAGUUCAAGAAGAAGGUAUAUCUUUAUCAGAUUGCUUAAACGUUUUUGAUUUUAAAGAAAAUGAGAUUUCAGGCCUAUCAGAGCAGUAGUUCAAGAUUUAUGACCGAUUUAGUGCACAGAUGUCAAUAUGACGCGUAAAAGAAGGUCAUCCCGAAAUUUCAAGAUUUCAGACCAAAGGUUGUAGCGACUUAGUGUAGCGGAAUCAAUACACCACUGGAGACUUUUUCAUGAUAAAACUAUGGGAAAGUAGGCAAGAUAAUCACUUGGUUCUAUUUUGUUUUGACUGCAAGAUUGUAUAGUUUGAUUUGUACAAUAUAGUCAAGAGAGCACAUGGGGGAGAUUUGGUAAAAGAAAAAUGUAACUCUAUAGGUGUACAUAUUCAAACCCAAAUUUAUUGAGAUAAUUGAUCCAACGGUAUUGGAAAACUGCAAAGAACAA